GUGUACGUACAAGCAGUGGGAGCCUUCGUAAGAGGGUGACUGCGUACCUUUUGUAUAAUGGGUCAGCGACUUAUAUUCUGUAGCAAGGUUAACCGUAUAGGGGAGCCGAAGGGAAACCGAGUCUUAACCGGGCGUUAAGUUGCAGGGUAUAGACCCGAAACCCGGUGAUCUAGCCAUGGGCAGGUUGAAGGUUGGGUAACACUAACUGGAGGACCGAACCGACUAAUGUUGAAAAAUUAGCGGAUGACCUGUGGCUGGGGGUGAAAGGCCAAUCAAACCGGGAGAUAGCUGGUUCUCCCCGAAAGCUAUUUAGGUAGCGCCUCGUGAACUCAUCUCCGGGGGUAGAGCACUGUUUCGGCUAGGGGGCCAUCCCGGCUUACCAACCCGAUGCAAACUGCGAAUACCGGAGAAUGUUAUCACGGGAGACACACGGCGGGUGCUAACGUCCGUCGUGAAGAGGGAAACAACCCAGACCGCCAGCUAAGGUCCCAAAGUCAUGGUUAAGUGGGAAACGAUGUGGGAAGGCCCAGACAGCCAGGAUGUUGGCUUAGAAGCAGCCAUCAUUUAAAGAAAGCGUAAUAGCUCACUGGUCGAGUCGGCCUGCGCGGAAGAUGUAACGGGGCUAAACCAUGCACCGAAGCUGCGGCAGCGACACUAUGUGUUGUUGGGUAGGGGAGCGUUCUGUAAGCCUGCGAAGGUGUGCUGUGAGGCAUGCUGGAGGUAUCAGAAGUGCGAAUGCUGACAUAAGUAACGAUAAAGCGGGUGAAAAGCCCGCUCGCCGGAAGACCAAGGGUUCCUGUCCAACGUUAAUCGGGGCAGGGUGAGUCGACCCCUAAGGCGAGGCCGAAAGGCGUAGUCGAUGGGAAACAGGUUAAUAUUCCUGUACUUGGUGUUACUGCGAAGGGGGGACGGAGAAGGCUAUGUCGGCCGGGCGACGGUUGUCCCGGUUUAAGCGUGUAGGCUGACUUUCCAGGCAAAUCCGGAAGGUUAAGGCUGAGGCGUGAUGACGAGGCACCACGGUGCUGAAGUGACAAAUGCCCUGCUUCCAGGAAAAGCCUCUAAGCAUCAGGUAACAUCAAAUCGUACCCCAAACCGACACAGGUGGUCAGGUAG
rnacentral:rRNA from 1 species